rnacentral:rRNA from 1 species
AUGGCCGGAGGAGGUGGUGGUGAUGGUGGUAAGCUGAUGUCGAUGUGUGAGCGGGCGCGGCUGGCGGGGGUGCCGCAGCCAGAGUCGGGGCUCAACUGCCCGCGCUGCGACUCCACCAACACCAAGUUCUGCUACUUCAACAACUACUCGCUCACCCAGCCCCGCCACUUCUGUCGUGCAUGCCGCCGCUCCUGGACCCGCGGUGGCGCGCUCCGCAAUGUCCCCGUCGGCGGCAGGUACCGCCGGCAUGCCAAGCGCAGCGCCAAGCCCAAGGCGGCGUCGACCGCCUCCGGAGACGGAGCAGGGACGUCGUCCGCAACAUCAAUGACGCCCAACACCACUUUCACCACCACCUCGUCGCCCGCUCUCCAGUACUUCAUGUUCGGCAGCGCGCCCCCGCAAGACCUGUUAAUUGACAGCUUCGACCCGACGAGCCUUGGCCUAAGCUUCCCAGCUAAUCUGCUCUUCGCCGAAGGCGGCGACUACGCGGUGGAGGGCGACGUGCACCACCACCAGCAGGGUAACGAGACCGACAUGGCCCAGAUGCAGAGCUUCCCGCACGCUAUGGAUCACCAGAUGGCCGGGCAGCUAGCUGUGGCGAUGCCCACCACAAUGGCGGCGAUGCAGGACAUGUUCCAACAAGUGCUACAGAGUGGCGGCAAUGGCGACGACGGAGGAGACCACCACUUCCACCACCACCACCAGCAGGAUUACGCAAGCAGCAGGGCCAUCUACAGAGACGUCGUCAAUGGCAAUGGCGGCGGUGGCUACAAUUUCUAUUCCAGCACCAGUAAUGCACCUGGUAAUUAG